rnacentral:rRNA from 1 species
CAGUCGCCGCGGGAAUACGUAGGCGGCAAGCGUUGUCCGGAAUGACUGGGCGUAAAGGGCGCGUAGGCGGAAUGUACAGUCAGACGUGAAAUUCCUGGGCUCAACCUGGGGACUGCGUUUGAGACGUGCGUUCUAGAGUUUGGAAGAGGGUUGUGGAAUUCCCAGUGUAGAGGUGAAAUUCGUAGAUAUUGGGAAGAACACCGGUGGCGAAGGCGGCAACCUGGUCCUUGACUGACGCUGAGGCGCGAAAGCGUGGGGAGCAAACAGGAUUAGAUACCCGCGUAGUCCCUGUCUCUUAUAC